rnacentral:misc_RNA from 1 species
AAAUAGCUUGACAAGCUGAAGCAGUGGCAGCCAUGUAUUCUGCUUCUGACGACGACAAGGCUGCUGUUGGUUGUUUCUUUGAGCUCCAAGACACUGCACAUGAGCCAAGAAAAAAAAUCUGUCCAGAAAUACUUCUUCUAUCUUCAAGAGAAUUGGCCCAAUCGCUGUCUGUGAAACCUUUUAACUUGAAAUCUGAAUUAGCAGAAUUAGCAGUAUACCAUAGACCAAAAUUUUGAGUUCCUGCAACAUACCGCAAAAUUCUUUUUGCUGCUCCAAGAUG